GAAAGCGAAAGCAGCUAACUACAAUAAACUUGACGGUAAGAGACGAAAGCUUGGGGAGCGAACGGGAUUAGAUACCCCGGUAGUCCAAGCCGUAAAUUAUGCAUGCUAGAUGUUUUGGACCCUCGUGGUCUGGAGUGUCGUAAUCUAACGAGUUAAGCAUGCCGCCUGGGUAGUAUAUUCGCAAGAAUGAAACUCAAAGGGAUAGGCGGGGGAACACACAAGCAGUGGAUUGUCUAGAUUAAUUGGAUAAUAAGCCAAGAAUCUUACCUAGAUUUGACAUAUAUUAUGUCCUAUGUGAAAGCAUAGUAGUCCGAGCAAUCGGACAUGAUAUACAGGUGGUGCAUGGUCGUCGUCAGCUCGUGCCGCAAGGUGUCUAGUUAAGUCUGGAAACGAGCGCAACCCUCAUCUUUAGUUAGAAUGUCUAAAGAGACUGCUCCGGUAACGGAGAGGAAGGAGAGGAUGACGUCAGAUCCUCAUGCCCCUUACAUCUAGGGCUUCAUAGACAAUACAAUGGGUAAUACAACGAGAAGCCAAGCCGCGAGGUGGAGCAAACCUCUAAAAUUACCCCUAGUUCGGAUUGUAGUCUGGAACUCGACUACAUGAAGUUGGAAUUGCUAGUAAUGGCGGGUCAGCUACACCGCCGUGAAUACGUCCCUGUUCCUUGCACUCACCGCCCGUCAAACCAUGGGAGCUGAGAGCCUCUGAAGGUGUGUCUUGCAUGCUGAGGAGGAAAUUAGUGACUGGGGUUAAGUCGUAACAAGGUA
rnacentral:rRNA from 1 species